rnacentral:tRNA from 1 species
UUUAAUUGAAACCAAAGACGAGGUAUGUCACUGUUAAUGACACUAUUGAAAUAAAAAUUUCCAAUUAA